CCAUGCCGCGUGUGUGAAGAAGGUCUUCGGAUUGUAAAGCACUUUAAGUUGGGAGGAAGGGCAGUAAGUUAAUACCUUGCUGUUUUGACGUUACCAACAGAAUAAGCACCGGCUAACUUCGUGCCAGCAGCCGCGGUAAUACGAAGGGUGCAAGCGUUAAUCGGAAUUACUGGGCGUAAAGCGCGCGUAGGUGGUUCAGCAAGUUGGAUGUGAAAUCCCCGGGCUCAACCUGGGAACUGCAUCCAAAACUACUGAGCUAGAGUACGGUAGAGGGUGGUGGAAUUUCCUGUGUAGCGGUGAAAUGCGUAGAUAUAGGAAGGAACACCAGUGGCGAAGGCGACCACCUGGACUGAUACUGACACUGAGGUGCGAAAGCGUGGGGAGCAAACAGGAUUAGAUA
rnacentral:rRNA from 1 species